GGAUGAGGAAGUUGAAACAGAAGCGG
rnacentral:sRNA from 1 species